AUUUACCCGCGUUAGGGAUUGAAACGGCAUCCUUUUUUAAGAGUUAUAUAGACUAAUUUUUACUUUAAACACGCAUUUAAUUGAUAGCCAUGUGUUUUGUUCUUGCUAUGCGACUUAAAAAAGAUAUAGUGGAAAGCCCGACCUUUA
rnacentral:sRNA from 1 species